UUGUGGGCAACUGCAAAAGUAACUGCAGCCAACACCCGUCGUAUGUGCCGACCAUUUUUCCGGCGGCGUACAAGAAACGGACACCUGACCCAGAAGUGGCGCAGAGGUGGAAACGGCGGUCUGUAAGGGCAGCCAGAUCAGUGCAAAAUGCUGUGUAGCAGGCUGUGCCUCAAAGUACUCCUCAAGUUAGCCCACCAAUGCAAGAUCAAGAUUCCUCUGCUUGCCUGGACGUCUAUGACACACUUGCAAGUGAUGCGGAAUCACCAGUGAUGCCUCUCACACCUAUCAGUGAUGACCCUCAGCGUUCAGCGGGACCCUAUGAAACACAACAGGCUCAACCAGUUACACAGGCCGAUGCUGCAUGCCAAACAGAACUAGAAUCUCGAGGAAACCUGGUUAUCCUCCUGUCAGCGACAAAUGGGUCUGAGGUAUCAACUCAAGUUUCUCAC
rnacentral:lncRNA from 1 species